ensembl:lncRNA
GGAUUUCUGUCAUCUCUUUUCCAGCAGUGACUGUCUGAUGGGGGAGCAUUGAGAUCUCUUAACUAUAUUCUCUGAUGCUAGGAGAACUUGUUUGGAUCUGCAUGAAUCCCUCUUCCAAGAGAAGUCUAGAUAUUUCCAAUGUUCUAAGAUGACAGUUGCUUGCUUACUUAGAAAAGAAGCAUGAAUUUCUUGUGAAGUGCGAUGUGCAAGGGACAUCCAGGUCCUAAGAAGAGCAUAAAGAAGUUGGUGGUUGAGAAGGAAGAGUCAUUGGAGAUCAUCCCUAAGAUUCUAAAGAAGUUAGUGAAAAAAAUGUGUGAACGUCCCUCAUUUCUCAGGAAGUUGAAAGAUAUAAAGGAAGAAGUGGAGGUUGAAGUUAGUGUCACAGUACCCAAGACUCUUGACAGUCAGAAAAAAAAGUGCCUGCAUCCAAAAAGACAGCUGUGAUGGAAGACAGUUACACAUCCCAUAUGCAAUACGCAUCUACAUUUUUUGCAGCUGGACAAAAGCUGGCUGUUCAAAGAAAUGUGAAGAUAUUGUGUCAAAUCCUGACAAGGUUAGCCUGUAACAUUCCUGAUAGAAACAAAACCACUGAACAUGACAACAAAAGAAUUGCUAGCUGCAGUGUUUGAAAUGGACCUGGUAAGGAAAAUGCCAAACUUCACCUGGAAGUUCAAUGGGCAAAUGUGAAAGCAGGACGAUAAGUAUGAGAUCAUUACUUUUGAUGAUGGAUUGGCCCACGCUUACAAUACUCAGUCCUGUGAACUUCAGAACUCAGUGCUGAAACUGGAGAUAUAGUGCAGAAAGCUCCAUUCUUCAUUGAUCACAGGUUCAGGUUCAGUUCAUCAGCAAACCUGAGAAUACCCAAAUGAAAAAUGGAAAAUCCUGUCUGGAGUGUGUGCUGAUUUGGGGAUAUGUCACUCUGAAAGGGAUUGAGGAAUUGAUGGGUGAUUGAAAGGUCUCAAGAACACCAGGAAUCAUGAAUGGAAGAGAGCAGAACUUAUCAUAAUGUUGAUGAGCCAAGAGAUUCAGGAACGUGUAUAGGCAUUGCUGUGUAAGACAGUGAAUCUAACAACUGCUACAGCAGCACCAGUGUAACUGGGAAGGUGCCUCAGUCUCGAGGGGUAGAUGUCAGGAAAGAAGCUGUCACCAUCACCAGGAACUCCUCAGCCCAGGAUGGACGUUCCUCAGUGCAAGGCUAUGUCAUAGAAAGAAGGAAAAAGAAGGUAACUGAAGGAUACAGCAUGAUACAGUGUGAGUUCAACCAUGCAGGGCCUGGAUUUCCCAGCGCACCUUUAACCACUUGUUGCAAAGGAUCCCACCGAGCCUGCAGAAGUCCUGAAGGUUCUCUACAUGGUGGAUUUUUCCAGUUCUAGCAUCUCCUUAGCCUGCCAGGAACCAAACAAGGAAGCUGUGUCAUCAAGAUACAUACUAGAGGAUAUAAGUGGAGGACACCAAGGAAUGGACAAAGUGCACCAAGAUCUCUAUCUCUAGUACCACUUAACUCUGCAGGAGGCUUGCAGGACAGACAUAUCCUUCCAAGCUGUGAGUGAAGCCAGUGUGGGAAAAGCAACGGAGGUACAGGAAGGAAUUCUAGAAAUAGCACCUCCAGUUCCCGCUGGCCUGGCCCUGCCCACGCACUAGGCCUGGAGCAAGAUGUCCCUGCUGAAUGGGGUACGAGGUUUGAUCUAGCAGAAGCCUACAAGAGUGAUGUCUAAGUCCAUGUGUUCGUACAGACUUGUUGCUCUCAUGCAAUGGGCUGGAUUUGAUUUCCUGAUUUUUGGCUGUUGGGAAAAGAGUUCUUCUGUUUCCUGAUGUUGUCUGUCCCCAAAUGGGACCAGUCGUUGCUCCCACUGCAAUCUUGGCAGCUUGGUCCCUGC